CUCCACUCUCCCAAAAUGUUGUAUUGAACGAAAGUUCUGAUUGAUGAAGAACCAAUGAGAGUGUGUUGUGUUCAAACUAUGCAAUUCCUCUUUCUUUAAUUUCAGAUAAUAUCGAGUCUCAUGUUGAAAGUGCUGGUUCACAUGUCGAGGACGCCAAUGUACAACUGGCGAAAGCAAGCGAAUAUCAAGUAAGCGAUAUCGUUAAUAAGGGAGCGAUCAUUAUUUAUGACUAGGGGGAGGUCAUUAUUUAUGACGGGGGGAAAGGGUAGGGUAAACAAAAUUUCAAGGGUGAGUUGACUACAAAAUUUUUGUAGUUCGCUAUAACUACAGCUACUUCAAAAAUAUGUAGUCCGCUACAACUACUGCUACUUUUGAACAAAGGUAGUUCGCUACUGACUACAGCUACUGCUUAAAAAAUGUAGCGAACUAUUUCGCUAUUUCGCUACGCUAUAUUUCUUAGUUCUACUGUAUUUGGAGCGUCUACUAACUCAGGCUGAAAUGUAACCUAUAACAAAUCGACUUACGAGUGGCAACAGUAAACACAAAGCAACAUUUUUGUAAGCACUACAGUGUUCAAGAACGCAAAUUGACUAUUGAGUAUUGAUUUUAAGCAAACCGUGUCUCAAUAUCAUGCUAUUCUAUCAAGUUGCUAACAAUUUUAAAAAGUAGCGAAUAGCGAUUUGCUGUUUGAAAAGUAGUCAACUCUUGGCUACUUUUAGGCAAAAUGUAGUUCGCUAUAACUACAGCUACUGUUUUAAUAAAGUAGUCAAAAACUACUGGCUACUUGAAAAUUGUAGUUCGCUACAGUAGCGAACUACAACUACUUCGCUACAACCCACCCUUGCAAAAUUUUGAGUGAGUAUAGGUUGGGUAAAUGAAAAACAAAACAACUCAAGGGUUGUGUAAUAAAAAUUUAUUGUCAUUUCCAAAACAUGACUCACUCAAAUAUUGAAGACAUUUGUCAAUACAAUAUGCAAAUCACUAUCUGGAUUAUUUACCGAUUUGUCAGGAGGCAAAUGGUGUCUCCAAAGAAAGUACAUGUGCGAUGUAAAACUUCAUGGCAGCUAGUUUUCGGAAAAAUCUCGUCACAAGACAAUCUCGACUUGCGAAAUGCUUUUGUAAACAAUAAGUAUAUGGCAUUCCAGUAUAUAAGAUGGUAAACAUUUCCUGCAAGGUGUGAGAAAAUUUCCGCGAAGAUAUUUUGUCAAAAAUUUCUUGACAGCGGUGCUGCUGGCGCUGUGGGAUAUUCUCCAGCAUUGUCUGCUGGUAAAGCGACUUGAGACAUCAUGUAAAAUACUCCCUUUGUUUUCUUUUGAAGAAAGCUUCACGGAAGAAAAUGUGUUGCCUCCUAGUCAUUCUACUCGUCGUGGGUGGCGUGGUGGGGAUAAUUAUAUGGCAGACGACGAAAUAGUAAACCGCUUUCCUCUCCAAAGUGUGGUAUUUUUUUCCUUUUUGACGAGAGAAAGCCCAAAGGUUUUUUGUAUAUACACACCAAUACUUUCCAAUGGUUCACAUUGUGAAUAGAAACUGAACUAGAAAUUUAAAAUUGCAGAUUACAUAGAUUCGAAACUGGGCUGAAUUAUGGUCAGCUGAGAAUGAUGUGGCCCUUUAGUAUACCUUCUACGUAUACUAUUAUCGGACGUCUCUGGUAAAUUUACGGUCAAACACUCUUGGGUAGACCUGAGAAAAAUAUUUUGGAAGGAAAAAGAGGGGACAAAAUAUGUCGAUUAUAUUUACGAAUGUCAAAUAAGUACACACAUUAAUACAAAUAAGUACACACAACUUUGACGAGUAUGUAGCUUGGCUGGUCUUUUUGCUUUCCAAGUUACAUUGCAGCCAUGUUGGAUAAAUUUGACGAAGGAAUUUCCUUCUUCGCAAUUCAAAUUUCAUCCAACAUGUCUGCUCUUUGAAUCCUUUGUAAUUGGCGCAGGCCUAUAUAAUAUUGGACCCCUUAAUCUAUAUUAUUAGAUACACUGUAUUGUAUAAUUUUACAGAUAAUUCUAGGGUUAAUGAAGCUCAUAUAUAGCUUUUAAAUUAAUUGUUCAAAUGUAAUGAAUGAAGUAAUUAGAAUAAUAAUGUAAAUUGUCACCAAGUGUUCGUUCCUAACUUUUCAUGUUCAAUAUGAUGUUGCACGUAUAUUGAAUUUCUGUUGUCGAAGCUCCAAAUGGCUUACUACGCCACUCGUCAGUUGGGUAAGUGAAUGAAUGGUCCUAUUACCUAAUGAAUAAAAUUUUGAUCUGGACAAGUCUAGACAAAAAUUUUAUCACGACUUGAAAGAGCAUCACAAAAUUAGUAAUAUUCCGAAGUUUCGUUGCGAAAUGUUGUAAAAUGGGAGUAUGCGGAUAAUAUAGCCCUGCGAAGUUUGCCG